GACGAACGCUGGCGGCGUGCUUAACACAUGCAAGUCGAACGGAAAGGCCCUGCUUUUGUGGGGUGCUCGAGUGGCGAACGGGUGAGUAACACGUGAGUAACCUGCCCUUGACUUUGGGAUAACUUCAGGAAACUGGGGCUAAUACCGGAUAGGAGCUCCUGCUGCAUGGUGGGGGUUGGAAAGUUUCGGCGGUUGGGGAUGGACUCUCGGCUUAUCAGCUUGUUGGUGGGGUAGUGGCUUACCAAGGCUUUGACGGGUAGCCGGCCUGAGAGGGUGACCGGCCACAUUGGGACUGAGAUACGGCCCAGACUCCUACGGGAGGCAGCAGUGGGGAAUAUUGCACAAUGGGCGGAAGCCUGAUGCAGCAACGCCGCGUGCGGGAUGACGGCCUUCGGGUUGUAAACCGCUUUCGCCUGUGACGAAGCGUGAGUGACGGUAAUGGGUAAAGAAGCACCGGCUAACUACGAG
rnacentral:rRNA from 1 species